GAUGAACGCUAGCGGCAGGCCUAACACAUGCAAGUCGAGGGGUAGCAGGAUUAAGCUUGCUUAAUUGCUGACGACCGGCGCACGGGUGCGUAACGCGUAUGCAACCUACCUUAUACUGGGGUAUAGCCCGGAGAAAUUCGGAUUAAUCCCCCAUAGUACUAAUGAAUCGCAUGGUUUAUUAGUUAAAGCAUUGCGGUAUAAGAUGGGCAUGCGUCCUAUUAGCUAGAUGGUGAGGUAACGGCUCACCAUGGCUACGAUAGGUAGGGGGCCUGAGAGGGUGGUCCCCCACACUGGUACUGAGACACGGACCAGACUUCUACCGGAUGCAGCAGUGAGGAAUAUUGGUCAAUGGGCGCAAGCCUGAACCAUCCAUGACGCGUGCAGGAAGAAUGCCCUAUGGGUUGUAAACUGCUUUUAUUUGGGAAUAAACCUCUUUACGUGUAGAGAGCUGAAGGUACCAAAUGAAUAAGCACCGGCUAACUCCGUGCCAGCCGCCGCAGUAA
rnacentral:rRNA from 1 species